UUACCUGUGUGUGUGUGUUUGUGCGUGUGUGUGUGCGCGCGUGUGGGCACACGUCCUCUCUGAGCUUUAGUUUCCUUCGCUGGCAAAUCUGUAAACGUUCUGGGUCUGCCUGAGGUACGGCACAGAUAGGACGGUAGUGCAAGGAUGCCCAAACCCCUAGGAACAUUCUCUCCGUGUUUUAUGGUUUCCUUAUUGUAAAUCCACUUUCCCAAUGUAGAAUUUAAAACAAAACAAAACAAAAAAUUACAAAUCAACAAGAGAUUUGGGAGGGGACACAUACCCAAACUAUAUCAGACUGUUUAAGAAAAUGGUCUAUGUUUUAGAGAUACAUUUGGAAAUAUUUAGGGGGGAUAUACCUGCAAUUCACUUUAAAAUAUUUCAGCUUAAAAUAUAUAGUCAAUUUACAGGUUAAGAUGCAAUUGUGAGAAACUGCAAGUUAGAAAUACUAUGAGUUUAAGCAAUUAUCUUAUGAAAGUAAUUACAACUGCCUGAGUUCAUGCUGCUAAUAGCUCCAUGUCACGUUAUCUAUGUUAUGUGUAACAGGUCAAAUUGUUCAUAACUUUGUCAUUCAAAGAGCUGUAGAGGUGUGAGCAAAAUCAGUGUAUUCAGUCAAAAUGGUGUUCAUGACAAGGGGAGCCCCUUGGAUGUCUGAGGCCAUGCAUGUGCAAUUAUUGGGGAGUCUGAGAGUUAUCUGAGGGGGGAGGGGGUUCAAAUGCCUGAGGAGUGACUGUGGGAUGAUAUGCAAACAGUACUUGGCAAUGACCAAGACCACAUACUUGCAAAGCUCACUCCCAUGAAGACCAACUCAAAGACCAAAACCAUACUCCAGGCUAUGCUAGAAAUUUAGAAGCCAGAACCAAGGGAAAGCUGGCAAGAUGAGCCCAGAGGAAGGACUCUGCAAAGAUGAGGAGCCCAGAGGGAGAUGUCUAGGACAGGCUCCACACAAAACCAUGCUGUAGGCAUGCUGUGGUCCUCCUUUCUCAUGGCUUGUGUGACAUCCGUCCAGUUAGUAUCAGAGUUAUAAAAACCGACUCUGCAGCUUCAGGGUGGUCACACUGCAGUAAAGCAGUGAGUGUGUGUGUAUGUGAGUGUGUGUGUAUGUGAGGGUGUGUGUAUGUGAGUGUGUGUGUAUGUGAGGGUGUGUGUAUGUGAGUGUGUGUAUGUGAGGGUGUGUGUAUGUGAGUGUGUGUGUAUGUGAGGGUGUGUGUAUGUGAGGGUGUGUGUAUGUGAGUGUGUGUGUAUGUGAGGGUGUGUGUAUGUGAGGGUGUGUGUAUGUGAGGGUGUGUAUGUGAGGGUGUGUGUAUGUGAGGGUGUGUGUAUGUGAGGGUGUGUGUAUGUGAGUGUGUGUGUAUGUGAGGGUGUGUGUAUGUGAGGGUGUGUGUAUGUGAGGGUGUGUGUAUGUGAGGGUGUGUGUAUGUGAGGGUGUGUGUAUGUGAGGGUGUGUGUAUGUGAGGGUGUGUGUAUGUGAGUGUGUGUGUAUGUGAGGGUGUGUGUUUGCCACAGGGUCUGGCCCACGGCACACUGGAGGGAGACCCUGAAGAGGAAGGAAUGCUCAUAUUAGUGAAAACUGAGAGCUGACAACCUAAAGAUGGGAUAGUAAACUUAACUUACUUAAAGCAGACCAAUGUGGACAUAUAGUUUCAGGGUAGAUAGUGUUCUACAUCUCAUUGGUCAUGGAGGCAUCACUGUGUUACUCUUUGUCAUCAAGAAUAGAUUAAAAUAGGCUGGGCACCUAUAGACGUGGCUCACGCCUGUAAUCCAAGCACUUUGGGAGGCUGAGGAGGGUGGAUUAUUUGAGAUCAGGAGCUCAAGACCAACAUGGCCAACAUGGCCAACAUGAUGAGACCCCCGUCUAUACUAAAAAUACAAAAAGUAGCCAGGUAUGGCAGCACGCACCUGUGAUCCCAGCUACUCGGGAGGCUGAGGUAGGAGAAUCACUUGAACCCAGGAGGCAGAGUUUGCAGUGAGCUGAGAUUGUGCUACUCCACUCCAGGUUGGGCAUCAGAGCGAGACUCCGUCUCAAAAAAAAAAAAAAAAAGAAUCCAUUAUAAUAGCCUUUAUUUAGGGAAACAGGGAAUUAUGCGCCAGUUUUUGAGUCAUCAAACAUUAUUAACAUUCGUUAAAGUUUUGUUUUCAGUGUCAUUUAUGAGACAAUGCUACAAAUGUUUCAUGUACAAAUGCCACAUAACUGAAAGUGACUGCAUUAAGUAGCCUGGACAAAUUUAUUCCCAACACACAAGUGAUGGAAACCAAUACUCACAGUGGAAGGGCUCCUAGAGACCAAUUUAUUCAAAUAUUCUCCUAUCAUAGGAAGAAAACAUGAGGACUGGAGACGGAAAAAGACUUGCCAUGCACACAAGUUACAUGAAAGAUUAAACCAAGGCUGUUCUCCGAUCCCCUCUCCUCUAGCUCAAAUCACAUCCAGGGGCUCAACUUCUCACAAAACUAUGUGAAUUUAUACAAUCAAAUUGGAUUCCCCAAGAUACUUGUGCUGGCUAAACCUUCAUGGGACAAAGAAGCCUCAUAUGCUUAUUUCCUCAUCUGUAAUGUGAGGAUA
rnacentral:lncRNA from 1 species